rnacentral:rRNA from 1 species
GACGAACGCUGGCGGCGUGCUUAACACAUGCAAGUCGAACGGAAAGGCCUGCUUUCCCUUGUGGUUUGCGGGUACUCGAGUGGCGAACGGGUGAGUAACACGUGAGUGAUCUGCCCCCAACUUGGGUAUAAGCCUGGGAAACUGGGUCGAAUUCCCGAUAGGACUGCAGGGUGGUGCCUGUGGUGGAAAACGAGUUUCUAGUGGUUGGGGGUGCGCUCGCGGCCUAUCAGCUUGUUGGUGGGGUAAUGUCCUACCAAGGCGGAGACGGGUAGCCGGACUGGGAGGGUGGACGGCGACAUUGGGACUGGGAUACGGCCCAGACUCCUACGGGCGGCAGCAGUGGGGAAUAUAGCACAAUGGGCGGAAGGCUGAUGCAGCGACGCAGCGUGGGGGAUGACGGGCUUCGGGUUGUAAACUCCUUUCGACCGCGAGGAAGCCACCUGGUUGGAAGGGUGGUGACGGUAGUGGUAGAAGAAGCACCGGCUAACUACGUG